rnacentral:rRNA from 1 species
AAUGGGGGCAACCCUGAUCCAGCCAUGCCGCGUGUGUGAAGAAGGCCUUCGGGUUGUAAAGCACUUUAAGCGGGGAGGAAGGCCUGAUGGCUAAUAUCCAUCGGGAUUGACGUUACCCGCAGAAUAAGCACCGGCAAACUUCGUGCCAGCAGCCGCGGUAAUACGAAGGGUGCGAGCGUUAAUCGGAAUUACUGGGCGUAAAGCGCGCGUAGGUGGUUAAGUAAGCGAUCUGUGAAAGCCCCGGGCUUAACCUGGGAACUGCAGGUCGAACUGCUUGGCUAGAGUAUGGUAGAGGGGUGUGGAAUUUCCUGUGUAGCGGUGAAAUGCGUAGAUAUAGGAAGGAACAUCAGUGGCGAAGGCGACACCCUGGACCGAUACUGACACUGAGGCGCGAAAGCGUGGGUAGCGAA